CAGCACGGGAAUACGUAGGUGGCAAGCGUUGUCCGGAAUUAUUGGGCGUAAAGGGCUCGCAGGCGGUUUCUUAAGUCUGAUGUGAAAGCCCCCGGCUCAACCGGGGAGGGUCAUUGGAAACUGGGAAACUUGAGUGCAGAAGAGGAGAGUGGAAUUCCACGUGUAGCGGUGAAAUGCGUAGAGAUGUGGAGGAACACCAGUGGCGAAGGCGACUCUCUGGUCUGUAACUGACGCUGAGGAGCGAAAGCGUGGGGAGCGAACAGGAUUAGAUACCCCCGUAGUCCCUGUCUCUUAUACACAU
rnacentral:rRNA from 1 species